AUUGAACGCUGGCGGCAUGCUAUACACAUGCAAGUCGAACGGCAGCGCGGGCUUCGGCCUGGCGGCGAGUGGCGAACGGGUGAGUAAUACAUCGGAACGUGCCCAGUAGUGGGGGAUAGCUCGGCGAAAGCCGGAUUAAUACCGCAUACGACCUGAGGGUGAAAGCGGGGGAUCUUCGGACCUCGCGAUAUUGGAGCGGCCGAUGGCAGAUUAGCUAGUUGGUGGGGUAAAGGCCUACCAAGGCGACGAUCUGUAGCUGGUCUGAGAGGACGACCAGCCACACUGGGACUGAGACACGGCCCAGACUCCUACGGGAGGCAGCAGUGGGGAAUUUUGGACAAUGGGCGAAAGCCUGAUCCAGCAAUGCCGCGUGUGUGAUGAAGGCCUUCGGGUUGUAAAGCACUUUUGGCGGGAACGAAAAGGACUGUGCCAAUACCACGGUUCGAUGACGGUACCCGCAGAAUAAGCACCGGCUAACUACGUG
rnacentral:rRNA from 1 species